UUGUAGGGGGUCGCCAUCUUGCCAACACUAGUGCAUACUCGUGUCCAAGAGACUUUGAAACUCCAACUAGCUACCUACGCAAACACCAGUAUGGUGCCCAGAUCUUGUAAGCAGUGCAGUGUAUUGGGAAAGACGAUCGAUUCUCUAAAAUGUUACCCCAUGAAGUACUUCUAACUUUUUUAGAGCUUGGUUCGUGGCUCAGAUGGAGACCCUGAGGGCAAAGCAUCCCGUGAUGGGACCUGAACCUACCCCCUCAAGCAACAAGGACUGCUCUGAGCCAGCAAGACCCUGCCAGUGAUUGAGUCCGAGACAUGGAUUGACCUGAUCUUUACUGCCCAGGUGCACAGACCACACUUUCUUUUAAAAACCUGGAAGUAUUUUCUACACUUUGGAGACCACUGAGACACCAGUCUACUGUCUUCCUGGUGUUGGCCUCCCUGAAAUAGAUUCCUUUCUUGUUUCACCUCCA